UUAGGAGGUGAAGUCUGUAUCUCUUUCUCUUGAAUCUGAGUUCUGUAGCUUUGCAACCAAAAGCUUACGCAGGGGUAUUACUGGGCCAAUUUCUGAGCCAAGGCUUUAAGAAACACAGUUUCCACUUCCUCUGUCUCUUUCUCUUAAAACCCAGCCACCAUGCUGUGAGGAAGCACAAGCUUCUCAGUAGGAAGGCCCAUGCGGACAGGAACCAACAGUCCGUACUGACUUGCCAGCCAUGUGAGUAUCCGUCCUGGAGGCAGGGCCUCCAGCCUCAGUUGAGCUGCCCAGUUGGCCCUGGAGGGAGCUGUCCUCGUCAAGCUUGGAGAAACUGAAGAUUUGAAACUAGUUAAGAGUUACUUGAGUAUGUGCUCCAGCAAAAAGAAUGAGUGAAUGAAGAGAGAGGAAGAUAUAGUCUAUGGCAGUGUAAAUUUAAUUUACAAAAUUAAUAAAGGAAAGUACAAUGAUGAUGGCUCUACAGUUGAUCUAGAGAACCUAUCUACAGGUCAGAAUAAACCAGAGAAGAGUCACGUCUAGGAAGGAUGUUUGAAAUGUUACAUUAGGAGGCUGACAGCUGUUCCUUCCUGAGGUUUGGAGGUGAGAAUUAUUGACAUAACCCCAGUAUCAUGGAGCACUCCUCUCUGCAAGUGUAAAGUGCUGUGUGUUGUUUGAAGAACACUGCAUGUGCUAUCUUCCUCAGUACU